CAGAUGGACAACAAAUCACCACCGACAACUUGGUUAUGAAGAAUACCAUUGACCAAUUAUCAGAAGAAUCUCUCAAAUCAUUUAAUAAAUACAUCAUUUAGAUGAACAAAUUUCCAUUCAACGAGACUUAAAAACUUACGCAAAAAUAAAACAUAGAUGAUGGAAGAGUGAAAAUACUUGAUACAAUUCAACAACGAAAUGUUUCAUCGUGAGGAAUCAUUUCAAUUCAAAUUAUCGUCGUUGAUUGUGUGAAGAACGCGUCGCGAGAAUUUUUUUGAAGAAAACAUUUUACAAAGAGCAGAUAAAAAACAAGUCAUUCUUUUUAUGAAGAAUGCCUUCAACCAGUCAUCCAAAAUGAUACCGCUGAUAAUUGCAUCACAUGCAAAAAAAUUAUGACUACAAGGACUGAUAUCAUCUAGCCGAGAAGAGGUUUUCCAAGAAAUACAAUAUUUAGAUUAGAUUCAAAUCUACCAAAUGGAAAACAAAUCAUCAUCGACAACUGGAUUAUAAAGAAUACCACCGAUCAGUUAUCUGAAAUGAAAUCAUUGACAAUUUCAUUCAAAAGAAUAUCAUUGAAACUUUAC